CCUGAAGAACAAAACUUGUUACUGCUGUGGGGACGGGCCAGGGCUAGCUGUGGGAAACAUGUUUCUGUUACUCAAUGGGAUACAAACAUUCACGUUUGAAACAUGUUUUCAAUAAUGACAGUCCAUAUCACCUUUGCCCAUGUGAUCCACAUCUCACAGGAGAGAGGGGGAAGGGCUACUUGCUUUCCACUCCAAGGCAGAGCUGGUAGUUGUGUUGUAACUGUUUAAGGAUCUGAAGAGCUUGAAAAACCCGAUUGAAAUGCUGCCAGACUUGCUAACAAAAUGCCUAUUCCCAGUGCUAGCAAGGAUGUCGAGCAGUCGGGAUUCUUUAUACAUCAUUGAUGGGAAUAUAACAUGAAGCAGCGACUUUGGAAGAAUACCUGGUGUUUCUAUAAAUAGGGCUGUGGUGAGUGAUAUGAAGAGAUUCCACAGAAGAGAUUCUGAUUAAUACAGUCAAAUCUUGUAUUCCCUUUGCCAAACACGUGCUUCCUGGGCCAGCACUGCAGCUCAGUCAAUUAGCAGGACGACCUCUGCACAUGAAUACCAUGUCGGGACACCAGGUGGAGUGCUAGAGCAAUACUGGAUUUUCUACAUCAGAACAAGAGCAAUACCCAACUCCCACAAAUAAAGUAUCUCAGGCAGCCCAAA